rnacentral:rRNA from 1 species
UGNNNNNGAACGAUGAAGCCCACUUGUGGGUGGAUUAGUGGCGAACGGGUGAGUAACACGUGAGUAACCUGCCCUUAACUCUGGGAUAAGCCUGGGAAACUGGGUCUAAUACCGGAUAUGACUGACCGUCGCAUGGUGGUUGGUGGAAAGCUUUUUUGUGGUUUUGGAUGGACUCGCGGCCUAUCAGCUUGUUGGUGAGGUAAUGGCUUACCAAGGCGACGACGGGUAGCCGGCCUGAGAGGGUGACCGGCCACACUGGGACUGAGACACGGCCCAGACUCCUACGGGAGGCAGCAGUGGGGAAUAUUGCACAAUGGGCGCAAGCCUGAUGCAGCGACGCCGCGUGAGGGAUGACGGCCUUCGGGUUGUAAACCUCUUUCAGUAGGGAAGAAGCGAAAGUGACGGUACCUGCAGAAGAAGCGCCGGCUAACUACGUGCCAGCAGCCGCGGUAAUACGUAGGGCGCAAGCGUUAUCCGGAAUUAUUGGGCGUAAAGAGCUCGUAGGCGGUUUGUCGCGUCUGCCGUGAAAGUCCGGGGCUCAACUCCGGAUCUGCGGUGGGUACGGGCAGACUAGAGUGAUGUAGGGGAGACUGGAAUUCCUGGUGUAGCGGUGAAAUGCGCAGAUAUCNNGAGGAACACCGAUGGCNAANNNAGGUCUCUGGGCNUUAACUGACGCUGAGGAGCGAAAGCNUGGGGAGCGAACAGGAUUANAUACCCNGGNAGUCCAUGCCGNAAACGUUGGGCACU